rnacentral:rRNA from 1 species
AGCGAACGCUGGCGGAAUGCUUAACACAUGCAAGUCGCACGCCCUGCAAGGGGAGUGGCGGACGGGUGAGUAACGCGUAGGAAUAUGUCCAGAGGUGGGGGACAACCCUGGGAAACUGGGGCUAAUACCGCAUAUGGGCUGAGGCCCAAAGCAGUGAUGCGCCUUUGGAGUAGCCUGCGUCCGAUUAGCUUGUUGGUGGGGUAAAGGCUUACCAAGGCGACGAUCGGUAGCUGGUCUGAGAGGACGACCAGCCACACUGGGACUGAGACACGGCCCAGACUCCUACGGGGGGCAGCAGUGGGGAAUAUUGGACAAUGGGCGCAAGCCUGAUCCAGCAAUUCCGCGUGGGUGAAGAAGGUCUUCGGGUUGUAAAGCCCUUUCGACGGGGACGAUGAUGACGGUACCCGUAGAAGAAGCCCGGCUAACUUCGUGCCAGCCGCCGCAGUAA